CGGCCGGCGCAUGCUUCACAUGCAGUCGAACGGUAACAGGUCUUCGGACGCUGACGAGUGGCGAACGGGUGAGUAAUACAUCGGAACGUGCCCAGUCGUGGGGGAUAACUACUCGAAAGAGUAGCUAAUACCGCAUACGAUCUGAGGAUGAAAGCGGGGGACCUUCGGGCCUCGCGCGAUUGGAGCGGCCGAUGGCAGAUUAGGUAGUUGGUGGGAUAAAAGCUUACCAAGCCGACGAUCUGUAGCUGGUCUGAGAGGACGACCAGCCACACUGGGACUGAGACACGGCCCAGACUCCUACGGGAGGCAGCAGUGGGGAAUUUUGGACAAUGKGCGAAAGCCUGAUCCAGCAAUGCCGCGUGCAGGAUGAAGKCCUUCGGGUUGUAAMCUGCUUUUGUACGRAMCGAAAAAGCUCMUYYUAAUACAGGGGGCCCAUGACGGUACCGUAAGAAUAAGCACCGGCUAACUACGUGCCAGCAGCCGCGGUAAUACGUAGGGUGCGAGCGUUAAUCGGAAUUACUGGGCGUAAAGCGUGCGCAG
rnacentral:rRNA from 1 species